rnacentral:rRNA from 1 species
GGUUGAUCCUGCCAGUAGUCAUAUGCUUGUCUCAAAGAUUAAGCCAUGCAUGUCUAAGUAUAAAUAGUAUACAGUGAAACUGCGAAUGGCUCAUUAAAACAGUUAUAGUUUAUUUGAUAAUUGACAAUUACAUGGAUAACCGUGGUAAUUCUAGAGCUAAUACAUGCUUAAACGCCCGACUUUAUGGAAGGGUGGUAUUUAUUAGACUGAAGCCAAUAUUCCUUGUGUCUAUUGCGGUGAUUCAUAAUAACUGAUCGAAUCUCUUUUUGAGAUAAAUCAUUCAAGUUUCUGCCCUAUCAGCUUUCGAUGGUAGUGUAUUGGACUACCAUGGCAGUAACGGGUAACGAAGAAUUAGGGUUCGAUUUCGGAGAGGGAGCAUGAGAAACGGCUACCACAUCUAAGGAAGGCAGCAGGCGCGUAAAUUACCCAAUCCUGACUCAGGGAGGUAGUGACAAGAAAUAGCAAACCGGGAACCUCAUGGUUUCACGGUAUUGCAAUGAGAACAAUUUAAAACCCUUAGCGAGAAUCAAGUGGAGGACAAGUCUGGUGCCAGCACCCGCGGUAAUUCCAGCUCCACUAGCGUAUAUUAAAGUUGUUGCAGUUAAAAAGCUCGUAGUUGAACCUCUGUCUGGGGCUAGUUUUGGCUUUGGUCAGGCUAGUUCUAGGCAUCCGCCUACAAGACUUAGAGGGCAUUCAGUUGUUCACUAGGAGGAGUAGGCAUUUUACUUUGAAAAAAUUAGAGUGUUUAAGGCAGGCAAUCGCCCGCAUAUAUUAGCAUGGAAUAAUAGAAUAGGACACUUUUCCAUUUCGUUGGUUAUUGGAAUCGUGUAAUGAUUAAUAGGGACAGUUGUGGGCAUUUGUAUUUAAUUGUCAGAGGUGAAAUUCUUGGAUUUAUUAAAGACAAACUAACGCGAAAGCAUUUGCCAAGGAUGUUUUCAUUAAUCAAGAACGAAAGUUAGGGGAUCAAAGACGAUCAGAUACCGUCCUAGUCUUAACUAUAAACUAUUCCGACUCAAUGUUUGACUGGCUUAUAUAACCAGUUGAGCGUUGUAUGAGAAAUCAAAGUCUUUAGGUUCUGGGGGGAGUAUGGUUGCAAAGCUGAAACUUAAAGGAAUUGACGGAAGAGCACAACCAGGAGUGGAUUCUGCGGCUUAAUUUGACUCAACACGGGGAAACUUACCAGGUUAAAACAAUAGUGGGAUGACAGUUUGAGAGCGCUUUCUUGAUUGGUUGGGUGGUGGUGCAUGGCCGUUCUUAGUUGGUGGAGUGAUAUGUCUGCUUAAUUGCGUUAACGAACGAGACCUUAACCUGCUUACUAGACUGGCGAUCAUCAAUCGUUAGCUCUUCUUAGAGGGACUUUGGUUG